AUUGCCCCCUCGAGACUUGCCGGGACAUGCCGCUUAAUGUGCUUGGAGUGAGAAAGUCUCGAAAUUUUAACACAUGGCCAUUCAAAUCCAUGGGAGUGUCUUAUAACAUCAUGAGCCCAAAAUUAUUCAUUGAGCCCAAAAUUAAUUUAUGAUGAAGCUGGUGAAGGGAUAUUGGGCUCAUACAACAUUUAUUGGCCCACGUUAGAUAUUCCAAAGCCCAAAAUCAAAUAAUGUAAGGUCAAGCUCAGCUCUGCACUAUGGUUAAACCCAGUAGGACUAGACCAUCUCAAAUUCUGAGCGUACUAACCAUCAGACUCGUCUCUAACAUUGGUGACCAUGCAAAAAAAAAAAAAAAAAAAAAAAAAAAAAAAAAAAAAAAAAACUUAGACUUAUCUCGUCCGUGAUCCCAGUUGUACCGUUAAAUUCAAUCCCAAUCAUGAUAACAUUAAGAGUGUAAUCCAACCAUGACACCCCCUCCCAGUACACUAUAAAUACUUCCUCCAUCAACCCCAAACCCACAGCAAUCAGCGGAACCAAGACCAAGAAAGAACAGCUUGCUCCUCAAUAGGAAGCAACCUGAGAGCUCUUGUUGAUUGCCACUCGGAGGUUCGUUGCUUCUCCGGCCGGAGUUCUUCGCAAAUGCCGCCGGUCGCUUUUUGUUGUUUUUCUUCUCUUUUUUUUUUUUUUUUUUUUUUGCAAAGCCGCCGCUGGAACUUUCCACCGUCAAGGCCGCUGGUCGUAAAUCGUUGAAGCCCGUUGCCAACGCAGCUGCCGGAGGUUCUUCACAGAAGUCGCCGGACGCCGGUUGCAGAGCCCUGUUUCUGUCUUUUGCAGGUUCGCCGGAGAUCGCCGCUGCUGGAGGUCACCCGAGCUGUUGCGUUGCUGCCGCCACCGGAGUUCUUUGUAGAAGCCGCCGGUCGCAAAUUGCAGUUGUUGAAGCUUUCUUCUGCAUCUUAUUAUCAUUGCUAGGGGAUUGACUAAAGUCCUAAGGCCGCCGGUUGCAGAGCUCUGUUUAUCCAUUGUUGUUGGUGCAGGAAUUUGAUCUCCAUUGAAGUCACCGUUGGAUCGCUGGACACUACUCCUUGCACCACCAUCAUCCCGCAUAGGGUGGGAGAAGACAGAGAUGAAGGAAGUUACUGAACGUCGAUGCUGCGGUUCCCAUUGGAAAGUUGCUCACACCCGUCGAAAUAUUGUUGCUCCAGAGUUGUCGUCGAUGACUAAAGGAUGAGCUUUGAAGGGCUUGGAUCUGUUUUGGCAACCAUUUCAGUCUACGGCUCUGUUUAUAUGCAAAUUCCAAAGCCAGCUUUUUCCUUUAUUAACCAUGUGACUUUGCAGUGCUAUGCUUAUGGGGAAUGACAAAAUGGACAACAAAAAGACUUUAAUAUUA